GGCAGGCUGAGCCGGGGCUGAAUCAGUUCUGCUUACUUUGUGCUCUCACCUCUUUCUCUGAAGUUCUGUUUUUAUCUGACACAAGGAAAUGCGAUUCUAAGCUCCAUGCGCAAGUUUCUCCCCAAAGUGCUGCCUCCCAAACACUUGGAACACCCCACUCACCUGUGUCCUGCCUUCCUCUUAGAGUUUCAAGCUCGGAGGAGUCAGAAAGGGAGGUGAGCCGAGCCGGAACGCGGAGGAGAGACCAGGCCACUCGGCCGUCGUCAUUCUGCCACCUCCAGGGUCAGCCCCAAGGUCCCAGAACAAAAGUAGCUGUAGGUCGCUGAGUGCACCGAAGCUCUGAGCCGCUGGCCCCUGAGACUGCAAAGGAGGGGCGGGUGGGACUCAGGCGUGGCUUCCGUCCUGCACCUGGGACCGCGAAGGUGCAGACAGAAAGCCAGGUGGGGUUCCCUGCAAGGGCAGACAGACGUUGAGCUGGGGACUGGGGAUACUGUGUCCCCUCGGCUGGGCAGGGCGCGGGAGCCUCCCGCAGUACUCCCCGUUCCCGGCAGAGGGCGCGCCGGCGGGCUGACAGCG
rnacentral:lncRNA from 1 species